rnacentral:tRNA from 1 species
GACGCGCUAGCUUCAGGUGUUAGUGUUCUUACGGACGUGAGGGUUCAAGUCCCUCUCUUCGCACCA